GUCGAACGCUGGCGGCGUGCCUAAUACAUGCAAGUAGAACGCUGAAGAGAGGAGCUUACUCCUCUUGGAUGAGUUGCGAACGGGUGAGUAACGCGUAGGUAACCUGCCUUGUAGCGGGGGAUAACUAUUGGAAACGAUAGCUAAUACCGCAUAACAAUGGAUGACACAUGUCAUUUAUUUGAAAGGGGCAAUUGCUCCACUACAAGAUGGACCUGCGUUGUAUUAGCUAGUAGGUGAGGUAAUGGCUCACCUAGGCGACGAUACAUAGCCGACCUGAGAGGGUGAUCGGCCACACUGGGACUGAGACACGGCCCAGACUCCUACGGGAGGCAGCAGUAGGGAAUCUUCGGCAAUGGGGGCAACCCUGACCGAGCAACGCCGCGUGAGUGAAGAAGGUUUUCGGAUCGUAAAGCUCUGUUGUAAGUCAAGAACGGGUGUGAGAGUGGAAAGUUCACACUGUGACGGUAGCUUACCAGAAAGGGACGGCUAACUACGUG
rnacentral:rRNA from 1 species